AACGAACGCUGGCGGCAUGCCUAACACAUGCAAGUCGAACGAGACCUUCGGGUCUAGUGGCGCACGGGUGCGUAACGCGUGGGAACCUGCCUUUAGGUUCGGAAUAACUCAGAGAAAUUUGAGCUAAUACCGGAUGAUGUCUUCGGACCAAAGAUUUAUCGCCUUUAGAUGGGCCCGCGUUGGAUUAGCUAGUUGGUGGGGUAAAGGCCUACCAAGGCGACGAUCCAUAGCUGGUCUGAGAGGAUGAUCAGCCACACUGGGACUGAGACACGGCCCAGACUCCUGCGGGAGGGGGGAGAGGGGAAUAUUGGACAAGGGGCAAAAGCCUGACCAAGAAAGGCCGGGGGAGUGAUAAGGGCCUUGGGGUUGAAAAGUUUUUUUCCCCGAGAUGAAAAUGACGGUAGCGGAAAAAUAAGCCCCGGCUAACUCCGGC
rnacentral:rRNA from 1 species